UCAGGACGAACGCUGGCGGCGUGCCUAACACAUGCAAGUCGAGCGAGGAGAUUCCUCGGGAUGAUCCUAGCGGCGGACGGGUGAGUAACACGUGGGCAACCUGCCUCAUAGAGAGGAAUAGCCUUCCGAAAGGGAGAUUAAUACCUCAUAACAUUGCAGUUUCGCAUGGAACAGCAAUUAAAGGAGCAAUCCGCUAUGAGAUGGGCCCGCGGCGCAUUAGCUAGUUGGUGAGGUAACGGCUCACCAAGGCGACGAUGCGUAGCCGACCUGAGAGGGUGAUCGGCCACAUUGGGACUGAGACACGGCCCAGACUCCUACGGGAGGCAGCAGUGGGGAAUAUUGCACAAUGGGGGAAACCCUGAUGCCAGCAACGCCGCGUGAGUGAUGACGGCCUUCGGGUUGUAAAGCUCUGUCUUCAGGGACGAUAAUGACGGUACCUGAGGAGGAAGCCACGGCUAACUACGUGCCAGCCGCCGC
rnacentral:rRNA from 1 species